rnacentral:rRNA from 1 species
GACGAACGCUGGCGGCGUGCUUAACACAUGCAAGUCGAACGCUGAAGCCCUUCGGGGUGGAUGAGUGGCGAACGGGUGAGUAACACGUGGGUAAUCUGCCCUGCACUCUGGGAUAAGCCUUGGAAACGGGGUCUAAUACCGGAUAGGACACAUCGCCGCAUGGUGUGUGUGUGGAAAGUUCCGGCGGUGCAGGUUGAGCCCGCGGCCUAUCAGCUUGUUGGUGGGGUGAUGGCCUACCAAGGCGACGACGGGUAGCCGGCCUGAGAGGGUGACCGGCCACACUGGGACUGAGACACGGCCCAGACUCCUUCGGGAGGCAGCAGUGGGGAAUCGUGCGCAAUGGGCGAAAGCCUGACGCAGCAACGCCGCGUGGGGGAUGACGGCCUUCGGGUUGUAAACCUCUUUCGACCGGGACGAAGGAUUCGUUUGACGGUACCGGUAGAAGAAGCACCGGCUAACUACGUGCCAGCCGCCGCGGUAA